UAAAGCAACCAUCUGCAUAUUUAGUAGCUGAGCUUGAUCUUUUAUUCAUUAUAAGGCUUUUUAUUCUUGUGUCUGCUUGUGAUACAGAGGCAAGGACAGCAUGGAAGCAAAAAUGGAGUAUUUUCUAUUAAUUCUUCUUUGCAUCAGUGCCCAUGCAACUAGGUGCCAUGGCAGUCGCAGUUCAAGCAGUGAAUCAGAAAGCAAUGAGGGGAACAGGGGGAAAAUCGUGCCCUCUGUUCUCUGCACUCUGUUUCCGACUCUGUGUUUCAGAACUACAACAACUACUACAACAAGGGCCACCGCAACAGCCACUCCAGUGACCCCCCGAGGAGACAACAGAUAAAUUACAGCUGCCUAAGUUAUUCAGAUGAUGAAUAUCCAAUAAGAGGGAAAUUCUGCUAAACUGUUUUUCAGCAAUACGAUGGUAUUUGCAUUUUUCUACGGCUAAAGGCAAAACCAGAAUCAAAUGUGUUAUAAGAAAGAAAUGAAUGUAUUAGGUUGACUUAGUCCACCUUUCAAUUUUUUUUGCUAUUGCACACUGAUUUGAAAAAAGAGAAAAAAGCUACUAAAACUGGUUUUAUUCUAUCUAGGUAAAGUCUACAUAAAGUUGGUUAUAUUGCUUUUUUUGGGGAGGGGGGGUUAAACAUUUAAGGCUGAGACAAGAGCUUAGUUAGGCUAAGAGUAAUAUACAACUUAUCCACCAAUGAGUAAACUCAAACAACACACCUGUGUAAUAUUGACUUGGUGCGCUCACACAUAAACAACCUUGGAUGAUGAUGGGUUAAGAAAAGGGAUGCGUGUAAGCUGCUAAAUACUUGACUCUGCCAAGUUUGCCUUACUGUACUCUUGAAUCAACCUCUUGACCAAUACUUUGAUUUAUUGCUCUGCACUGCCUAUUCCUAAGUCUUUGACUGAAAUGUGUUAUCAUGUUUUACUAUUUUCCUAAUCAGUUAAUUUAUGUUUUAUGAAAUAUGAUGUAUCUAAACAUUUCAUUAUAUAAAGUCCUUAUUUUGAAUGUCUUCAAAGCUUAGCUUCCAUAAUUUUUUUCUAAACUAUUUUAAUAUGACCCUGCACUGGCUCGUGUGUGCGUGUUGAUGAUUUAAAAAUUGUAAAAUAA